UUAGGUUUAUACCAAGGGAGAAAUUGCUGGACCAUAUGAUUAUAUGCCAUGUGCAAAUAAGAAUGUAUAUUCUGGGAAGUGGUUCCAAGAUGGCCGAAUAGGAACAGCUCCAGUCUACAGCUCCCAGUGUGAGCAACACAGAAGAUGGGUGACUUCUGCAUUUCCAACUGAGGUAUCAGGUUCAUCUCACUGGGGUUCAUCGGACAGUGGGGGUAGGACAGUGGGUGCAGACCACUGAGCAUGAGCUAAAGCAGGGCAAGGCAUUGACUCACCCAGGAAGUGCAAGGGGUCAGGGAAUUCCCUUCCCUAGCCAAGGGAAGGGGUGACAGAUGGCACCUGGAAAAUCGGGUCACUCCCACCGUACUACUGCACUUUUCCAAUGGUCUUAGCAAAUGGAACACCAAGAGAUUAUAUCCCGUGCCUGGCUUGGAGGGUCCCAUGCCCAAGGGGCCUCGCUCAUUGCUAGCACAGCAGUCUGAGAUCAAACUGCAAGGCAGCAGCGAGGCUGGGAGAGGGCCAACCACCAUGGCUGAGGCUUCAGUAGGUAAAC
rnacentral:lncRNA from 10 species